ACGCUCGACACCUACGGGAGACAGCAGUCGGGAAUAUUGCGCAAUGGAGGAAACUCUGACGCAGUGACGCCGCGUGCAGGAAGAAGGUUUUCGGAUUGUAAACUGCUUUAGACAGGGAAGAAAGAAAUGACAGUACCUGUAGAAUAAGCUCCGGCUAACUACGUGUCAGCAGCCGGGUAAUCUGAGCGGGCUGGCAAGGC
rnacentral:rRNA from 1 species